CAAGUCGAGCGGGACAGAAUGGGAGCUUGCUCCCUGAUGUUAGCGGCGGACGGGUGAGUAACACGUGGGUAACCUGCCUGUAAGACUGGGAUAACUCCGGGAAACCGGGGCUAAUACCGGAUGGUUGUUUGAACCGCAUGGUUCAAACAUAAAAGGUGGCUUCGGCUACCACUUACAGAUGGACCCGCGGCGCAUUAGCUAGUUGGUGAGGUAACGGCUCACCAAGGCAACGAUGCGUAGCCGACCUGAGAGGGUGAUCGGCCACACUGGGACUGAGACACGGCCCAGACUCCUACGGGAGGCAGCAGUAGGGAAUCUUCCGCAAUGGACGAAAGUCUGACGGAGCAACGCCGCGUGAGUGAUGAAGGUUUUCGGAUCGUAAAGCUCUGUUGUUAGGGAAGAACAAGUACCGUUCGAAUAGGGCGGUACCUUGACGGUACCUAACCAGAAAGCCACGGCUAACUACGUGCCAGCAGCCGCGGUAAUACGUAGGUGGCAUGCGUUGUCCGGAAUUAUUGG
rnacentral:rRNA from 1 species